ACGGAAGGCAGCAGUGGGGGAUUUUGCACAAUGGGGGAAACCCUGAUGCAGCGACGCCGCGUGAGUGAAGAAGUAUUUCGAUAUGUAAAGCUCUAUCAGCAGGGAAGAAAAUGACGGUACCUGACUAAGAAGCCCCGGCUAACUACGUGCCAGCAGCCGCGGUAAUACGAGGGGUGCAAGCGUUGUUCGGAAUCACUGGGCGUAAAGGGAGCGCAGGCGGAGAUGCAAGCGGACUGUACAACACCGGGGCCCAACCCCGGACCUGCAGUCCGGACUGCUCCUCUUGGAUAGUUCAGGGGCAAGCGGAAUUCCUGGUGUAGCGGUGGAAUGCGUAGAGAUCAGGAAGAACACCGAUGGCGAAGGCAGCUUGCUGGGGACUAAUCGACGCUCAUGCUCGAAAGUGCGGGUAGCAAACAGGAUUAGAUACCCUGGUA
rnacentral:rRNA from 1 species